rnacentral:rRNA from 1 species
CCUACGGGAGGCAGCAGUGAGGAAUAUUGGUCAAUGGACGCAAGUCUGAACCAGCCAUGCCGCGUGCAGGAAGACGGCUCUAUGAGUUGUAAACUGCUUUUGUACGAGGGUAAACGCAGAUACGCGUAUCUGUCUGAAAGUAUCGUACGAAUAAGGAUCGGCUAACUCCGUGCCAGCAGCCGCGGUAAUACGGAGGAUUCAAGCGUUAUCCGGAUUUAUUGGGGUUAAAGGGUGCGUAGGCGGUCGGAUAAGUUAGAGGUGAAAUCCCGAGGCUUAACUUCGGAAUUGCAUCUGAUACUGUUCGGCUAGAGAGUAGUUGAGGUAGGCGGAAUGUAUGGUGUAGCGGUGAAAUGCUUAGAGAUCAUGCAGAACACCGAUUGCGAAGGCAGCUUACC